CGCGGUAUUUUGACCGUGCAAAGGUAGCAUAAUAAUUAGUUUUUUAAUUGGAAGCUGGAAUGAAUGGUUAAACCAGAAAGUUACUGUCUCUAGUUAAUUUUAGUAGAAAUUUAUUUUUAAGUAAAAAAGCUUAAAUUUUGUUUAAAGACAAGAAGACCCUAUAGAGUUUUAUAUUUGAAUAAAAGUUUUAUUUUAUUAAUUUUAUAAUUGAGUUUUAUUUUAAUUAUUUUAUCGAGGUGAUAGAAAGAUUUAAUUAACUCUUAUUUUAUAUAAACAUUUAUUUUUGGUUUUUUGAUCCAGAGUUUUUGAUUAUAAGAUUACAUUACCUUAGGGACAACAGCGCAAUUUUUUUGGAGAGUUCAUAUCGGUAAAAUAGAUGGCGACCUCGAUGUUGGAUUAAAGAUAAUUUUUGAUGCUGAAGUUAAAAUAUUGAGUCUGUUCGACUUUUAAAACUUUACAAGAUCUGAGUUUAAGCUAGCGUGAGCCCGGUUGGUUUCUAUCUUAAUUUUUUGUAAAUGUUUUAGUACGAAAGGACCUAGCAUUUAAUAUAUUAUUUCUUUAAAUAAUUUUAUUAAUGUUACUUUGGCAGAUUAGUGCGUUAAAUUUGGAAUCUUUUUAUGUAACUUUUACAGGUAAUAUUUGCUUAUAUUAGAUUAUCUUUUAGUUUUUUUUUAGUAUAAUUUUAUUGGUAGUUUUUGUUUUUAG
rnacentral:rRNA from 1 species